UGGCUUUGUUGGUGCAUCUCAGUGGCGGUU
rnacentral:piRNA from 1 species